GACGAACGCUGGCGGCGUGCUUAACACAUGCAAGUCGAACGAAGUGGCGAACGGGUGAGUAACGCGUAAUCAACCUGCCCUUCAGAGGGGGACAAAAGUUGGAAACGACUGCUAAUACCGCAUACUGAGAGAGGGGAUUGCGUUUGAUUAGCUCGUUGGCGGGGUAACGGCCCACCAAGGCGAUGAUCAGUAGCCGGUCUGGUAGGUGGAACGGCAACAUUUGGACUGAGACAAGGCCCAGACGCCUACGGGUGGCAGCAGUGGGGAAUCUUCCGAAAUGGACUAAAGUCUGACGGAGCAACGCCGCGGGGUUGAUGACGGCCUUCGGGUGGUAAAGCUCUGUUAAUCGGGACGCGGUACCGGAAUAGAAAGCCACGGCUAACUACGUGCCAGCAGCCGCGGUAAUAC
rnacentral:rRNA from 1 species